rnacentral:lncRNA from 1 species
ACCAAAAAUCCUCUUCCACAAAAACAGAUAUCGUAUCGCCUUCUUCGUAAUCCUCUUCAUUCAACAUUCGAAACCCUAAAUUUCAUAAAGAUGGCAGCCACUUCUCGAUUGGCCAGGUUUAUCAGCGAAGCUUGCCCACCUCAAUUCGUCUCUGUCAUGAGGCGAAGAAGCCCCAGAGUUUUAGACACCAUUAACGAAGAAGACCAAAGAGAAGCCUUAGUUUCCUCUUCCUCCUUCAAGAUCGACAAAUUCUCUGUUCCUUCACCGCCAUCUCCCGAUUCUUCCGCUGCCGCCAUUAAUUCCAAAUACUUUCUCGAUCAGGUCCCUGUACCCCUGGGGCCUUUCUCCAUUUUCGAGCAUUGAGAAAUGGAUUUUUAGUUUCGAUGAGUACACUCAGAAUCCGUUUCUUUUUUCCUUUUUACCUUUUCUGCGCCCAUCGGGUCGGAUUCAUUCUGGCCGGAAAUGGCGUUGUAGAUAUGAAGUCGACGACGUAGUGGCUGACGCCGGUUAAGAGAUGGGUUUUUUCUUUGGUUUUUUUUUUUCUUUUUUUUUUUUGAUGGGGUUAGUGAAUUUCCGAAUGCGUUUGUAAUGUGUGAGUUUGAUGUUUAUAUAAAAUGAAAAAACUGCGCUGCCCUUCUAAUAAUUAACUUUUCAGCUAAUCCUCAAAAUCAUAAAUAACAAUAAUGAUCAAAUUAAAUUAAGUUUAUUUUUAUUAGGACAUUAACUUAUAAUAUAUAUUAGAAAAAUUGUUUUGAGAAUAUAGCAAAUAUAAUCCACCGUUUUGGAAUUUUGGAGCAAAAUUCACUUAUAAAAUUACUCUUCAAAUUUGUUGUUAUUCUUAAUAACUCAUUUAUCUUCUCAAACUAAUCUUCAAUUUAUUUUUCUUUAUUUUUUUCUCUUUUCCAAUUAUUUAUUUAUUUAUUUAUUCUCUCACUUUUAUUAUUAUUUAUUUAUUCUUAACUUUUUAAGACCUUAAUUAUAAAAAUAAUUUAUUUUUCAUGUCUUAAUGUUGAUUUUAGGUCUUAAUCAUGAUUUUAGAAUAUAGAUAAUACAAUAGAGUCAUUUACCUUCACCUUCAUUUGUGGUUUUUUCCUACUCGAUGUGUAAAAUUUUAUGUACUUAAUUAUAAUAUUAUUAAGUGUAUGAAUAAUAUAACUAAUUUUGUCAUAUUCGCAAUAUGACAAAAUACAACUAUUAGACGGUAAUCAUAAGGUUAGAAAAUGUACUAACAUUUGCCCUAUUAUCAUAUAUAUUUUUUUUUUUGCUAUUUUUGCUUUUUGCUAUUUUUGCAAGAGCCUCCAUUGUUAAUGCAUAUCAGUAAAGUUUGCAAAUGUAUAUAUAUUAGCAAAUGUAUAUAUAUCAUAAUAGUAUAUCAAGUGUAUAAGUAGAACUUCAAGCAUAUCAAAUAUAUUUAAUCAAUCAAAUGUAUAACUGAAGAAUACUAAAUGUAUGCAUCAGGCGUAUCAAACAUAUCAUGUACAUCAAACGUAUCAAAUUUGUUGAAUGUGCCAAUGAAGAAUAACAAGUUUAUUAGCAAUGUAUCAAAUGUAUCAAACUUAUAAAUGAAGUUUUAAGUCUAUCAAACUAAUCAAGUGUAUCAAGGUCUAAGGGGUAUCAAGUGUAUCAAGAAUAAUCAAGUGAAACGAAGAGUAUUAUGUAUAUCAAAGUAUUUCAGUUGUGUAUAAAAAAGUAUCGAGUGUAUUAAGGAGUAUAGGUGAUCAAGUAUAUCCAUCAAAUGUAUCAUGUGUAUCAAGAGGUAUUAGGUGUAUCAAAUGUAUCAGACGUGUACAAUGUGUAUCAAAUGUAUAUUAGUAAUGAAGCAUUUGUGAAAUUUUACAGAUGUGUUGGUUGGACUUUGAUUUUGUCAUUUUCACAAAUAAUAAAAUAUGUGUGUUAUGGAUUUAAUUAUUAUAACUUGUUUUGUCAUUUAUGCAAGUGUCCUUAUAUAUUAUAUAAUAAAAGAUAAUUUAUGUAUUAAUUUCUUACAAAUAUGGAUGAAUGUUAGAAGUUUUUUAAUAAGUAUUUUCCUUUUCUAAAUUAUAUCGAUUCUCAACCUAAGAUUGAUUGGGAUUUGAGAAAUUUUGUAUGAGUCUGAAUAAAAUUGAAACUAUAUUGCAAAAUUUUAUUUUUAUUUCUUUAAUACUUAGUUUAAUUCAUAUUUUGGUGUCUAAACUUUGCUCGUGAUUAUGGCGCAUUGUCAUCCUAGCUUAUACCCCACUUUUCUCAAUUCAUAUGCAUUUUUUAAGGGUUUGACAUAUUUUGUGAUUCGAAGUAAUAAAUAAAAGUUGAGAGUUUGGAAGAGAUCAUGUGAGAGGUUUAAGUUUUGGAGAGAAAUGGAAUAAAGUUUGGAGAGAUUUCAGUUAAAGUAUAUGUUCCGAAAGAGGACAAAAUACAAAGUUUAAGGAUCAAAAUAGGAUUUAAACCAAAAUGUUGUAAUAUUUGUCUGACGUGAAUAGUAAAAAUGAGACACAAAAGAUGAGCAUGAAAAUGAUAUAAACAAGUAUUCCCUAAAAACUUAAAUUAGUUAUAAGAGAAAGGUUGGCAAUCCCGACGUUGGUAUAAAGUAAUUUAAUAAAAAAAAAUACAAAACAUCUUCCAACACCGUUAUACAUAGCGUCGGGAGAAGUUUAUAAUUUUUUAAAAAAUAUAUUUAACUUCUCUCCCAACGCUAUUAUGCAUGGCGUCGGGAAAAGUUUAUAAUUUUUUAAAUAUAUUUAUAUUUAACUUUUUCCGACAUCGUUAUGCAUGACAUCAGAAAUUUUUUAUAUUUUUUAAAAAUAUAUUUAUAUUUAACUUCUCUUGACACCAUGCAUAAUGACGUUGGGAAUGCCCAACAUAUUUUCGACGUGUUUAAUCAUGCGUCGGACAUUCCCCUUUAAAUACCAUUUUCAGAUCUGUGUUAGUCAGAAAUGAGGAAAAGGGAGAUCGAAAAUGAGGGAGACGAAUGAAGGGUUUGAAGGCCAAAAGAGGAAGAAGAAGGUCCACCGCCGCUAGUCGUACACCGCCCGUUGCUUACGAUCGACGCUUGUGAGCUGUCAUCCAUCUCUCGCCAGUUAGUGUUUGUUUUUUUAAUUUUUUUUCUUUGUUUUGGUUUAAAUUUGAGAAAAAAAAUACUAAAUACAUAUGCUUUGUGAUUUUCAAGGCCUUCUCUUGUAUGUUUUUCUCCGUGUCAUCGUCCACUACUGCCCUUCUACCGUCGCCUUCGCCCACCCCUCGCUGGUAAGUCUUUAUUUAUAUAUAUAUAUAUAUGGUUUGAGGUUGAGAAAAAAUAUUAAACAUGUGUGUUACUGUUUUUGGGUUUCCUCUAACUUUUGCUAUUUUUCUAUCCAUUUUCUUUUAAUUUUCCAUUUAUUUUCAAUUCUGGGUUUCUUCUAGGUUGUAGUAUUUUUUUGAAAAAAUAGAGGAUCUCCCGACGCACGAAAUGUAGAGUUGAAAGAUCCUUGACAUCUCCUUAUGCUUAAAUAAGGCAUCGAGAGAUGUCAAAUGUAGCGUCGAGAGAUCCUCUUUCAACUUAUUUUUUUCGAGUUGAAUCCCAACACGAAUUUGGAAUUUGGAACUUUCUAAGAGUCGUUGUUUAAUGCAUUUAUUGUAUUACAUAGAAUUUGGUAGUUCUGCUGUUCUGGGCGUUUAUAUAUAUAAAUAAUAUACUCUUUAGAGGGUGUUGAGUGAUGAAUCCCCUUUUGGCCUUUUGUUCAUAUGAUUUUUUGAGUAAUAACAGUUUGGGAAAGAUAUACUUUCUUUGAGUCGUCACAGUUAAUGCCAAUCAUUGAAAAUUAUGGUAAAAUGAAAGUUAGGUCGCUCGAAAAUGGAGAUGGUAGGAUUAUUGCACUCCAAAUUUCUUAUCAAACAUGGCUUCCAAGACCCAACCCUCUACCUUCUGCUUCUUUCAUCGUUGCAAUUUCUUAAUUAUUUCUUCUUAACAUAACUUCCACCAUUCAAAACUAUACUUUUUUUAAAAAGCUUUCCAAAUAAAAUUUGGAGAAAAUUGUACCAACCUAUGAAUUAUAAUCGCACCAUUAACUUCCAAUUUGCUCCAUUUAUACCGAUUUCAGUUACUAAACCUUUAGAUACGUUAGAACAUUUAUAAAAUAUAACAAACUUUUAAAAUCUUAUAUUUUAAUGUCUACUAUUAAUAUAUUUUAAAUUUAUACUAUACUUUAUAAAUAUUGUGAUUGAUUUUGUUAUAUUUGAAACAUUCUUUUUAGUAACAUGCAUGAAUUUAACUAACAUAACCAUUGAAAAUAUUUACAAAUAUAACAAAAGAUAAAAGUGCUAUUUAUGUUUAUUAGAUAAAUAUAGAUAAUAGUUUCACGGUUUAUCGUAGAUGGAUGAUGAUUUAUUUUGCUAUAUUUGUAAAUGUUAUAUUUUUAUACAAUUAUUUACCAUAAAAUGUGUUUAUAAAUUAAUUAAUACUAUUUUAUAUUCAACCUAAUAUUAAUAUCUAAUUGUUUAAAUCCGAAGUUUUGUUAAUAAGGUUUUGAUAUUAUAUUAUUAUACAAGAAAAAAAGGACAAUUUUGUAACAUAGGAUUCUUUAUUAAUUUAUUUUUCUCUAAUUAUAUUAUUAGUGUGUAGUGUAUUGGAUAAAGUGCCUAAUUAGUUUUUUAAAAAAUCAAUAUAAAAAGUAAUUGAACAAAAGUCUUCCCAUGAUUAGCAGUUAAAUAUUUACUUAAUUAGUGUUGACUUGAAAAAUCUAUGUUGCAAUUCUAAAACAUCCUAUUAUUUUGGUUAUUAUAAUUAAUAUGAAUUAUUUAUGCUUUAAUUGUUCAAUUUGAAGAAUUAUCAAUUAUUUUAUCAAUAAUUCAGUCAUGUUUGCUCCAAUAUCUUUAAACUUCUUAAAAAAUUAAAGUUAAUUGGUGAGCAUGGACAUUAAUUUAUUAAAAUUUGAAUACCAAUAACUUAUAAUAUAACAACUCAUGAUUUAAUAAAAUAUAUAAAGCUACCAUUUCAACCAAAUUAAUAAAUUUAAAUCACUUUUUGUUUU